CUUUCUAUUUUCUUUUCUCUUUCCUCUAGAUGCGCCUCUCUUCUCCAUCUUCUUCAACUUCAACAGCAAACCAAAAACUCAAACAAAUCAGAAGAAAUAAAAAGAAAAAAAAAAAACCAAAAUCAUUGCUCGUUAACCCAGCCUGCUUCUCCAUCUUCUUCAUCUACUCUACAAAAUCCAAGUUCUUCCAGUGAACCCUAUUUAAACCUGUAACCACAGAACAAAGCAAAGAGGCUAGAUCAUCAAUUAGUCAAAGGAGAUUAAAGGGAUGGCUAAGAAGGACAAUGUGGAUAAUGUGGCACUUCAGAAGGUUAUUUCCGUAUUAUCGCAAAAACAAGAAGAAUGCAAGGAGACCUGCAAUAACAUCAAUUCGAUCUCAAAACAACGCUAAGGAGAAGGCCAAAGCAGCUGGAAAGAUGAAAGUUUGGCAAGGUUAUGCGCAUGGUGUGGUUGCUUUGGCCACAUGGUUCUGUUGGGAAACAACUUUUGAGGCUCUACAAUGUUAGCAUCAAGGAGAAUAUAAGGAGGUGGAAAUACUGGAAAUGCGUUAAAUUGUGUUGCUCGCCUGGGACUGAAUUCUGGCUUAUUCAAAAGAUACUUCACUCAUAUCCCCAUUCUGAGUUUGAAUUACUAAGACCUUACGCUGGUAUGCUGCUUGUGAGUGAAAGCAUAUGAGUUAUAAUCUUUUACCUCAUAACUUAACUUGACCAGUCAAAUAGGCUCACUGCAUAGAGUUCUCGGGGCUUUUUGAGAGCUAUUCGCAAUUCAUGUAACUGUCUUGUAGCUUAUUUGGAUAUAACUUGUCCUGUAGAUCAUCUGGUAGUGUUAUUUUCUAAUUAAGUACAUAACAUUGAAAUGCAUGAAAUGCUAAUCAACUUCAUAACGGUGCACCUGCAUUCCAAGUUCGAUCCGCAAUAGCAUGACCUUUGUCUGUUCAUUAGCCAAUGCAAUAACAACUGAAGGCAGAGUUGAUUUAAUAAGCAUAACUGGAUCAAUGCUCACAUUUAAGUUGCAUGUGGAAAUUUAAGACCACAUUUGGUUUAGACAAUGGCAUAUGAUAAAUAUGGGAUGGGAAUCAUGUUUGAAUCAUAAUAGUUGAAGGAUCUUAGCAUGUUGCUUCCAUCUUUAGUCUGAACCUGCUUCAGUCGGUCAUAUCUUAGGUGAAUAUAAUUAUAGAUGCUUAGAUGGUGGUGCUGUAAUGGAUUAGUCAAACAUCUUCAAGCUCCCCCAUUCAUUUCAGACAUUGAAUCAUCUACUAAUUAAGCCUUUCGAAUACGAGAGCAUGGGCUUUUGCUCUUGGACUACUAGCUUUCAAGAUAGCAGGUGGCUUAGGCAUUAUACAGAUGUUGCAAGUGAUUGAGGCUACUCCAAAGAAUCCUGAUGGCAAAACUCAGAUAUGUUGCUAUAUGCUAACAUCUCACCAGACAACAUACUAGCAAAGCAAACACUUGACAUACUCUCAGCUAGCCGUCCAAAUUUGAAGUAUAAAUCUCACAAUUGAUGGUGUUGGAGCCCCUAUGUACAAAUUUGAUGGACACAAAUCGUUUGUUCAUUGCGUUCAGUGGUGUCCAGAUAAUUAUCAACAUCUGGCAGUGCUGCAGAGGAUGGCAUUUUGAAUGUUUGGGAUCAUGAAAAGGUACAGGAAUCCGUUAAUGGUUUUAUGUGCUCGUUAUCAUCUAAGCUACCGGGUUAGCUUUACUUUGAUUUAACAUCAUAAGGUGUCGUGUCUUUAUAAUACUAUCUUUAAGUAAAGCUUGAUGAUAUCGAUACAUCACCUUUCUUAUAUUUCUGUUUUUUUUAUUGGUGAGAGGGGGAGAAUUCUGUGUAGGCAAAAGUUUUUAAUUAGGUUCAAAGGUCUUGUAGCUGAUGGAAGUAGAUCACUACUUUCGGGACAAGCAGGGAGGUAAUAAUAUUGCCUUAACAUCUCAAAUUUGUCCUUAUGUUAACUCUGUCUGAGUUCACCAUUGUGAUUAGUUUCAUAUCAAAUAUUACACGUAAGUCCCGUCAGAAUCAUGCGCCGUGCUCAGGGUUGUGUUAUACUUAACAGAGAUUGGGUUCACAACAAAGAAACAAAAACGUCUCUAUGUUAUGUGUGAGGCGGCUCUGACGAAGAAAGUUGAUUCAACACCUCAUUGUAAACUAGGGUAUUCAGACUUGCACUUGUCUUUAAGAAUUGUCUUUAAGAAAAAAUGUGAACCUAUCAGCUAAUACUUGUAUUGAUGCAAAUUUAGGAUUUUUUCCCCCUGAUUUUGAAGCUAAGUGCAGGUUUCAUUUCCUUCAAAUUUUGCAAUUUCAACCUGUAUGAAUUGUACAAUGAAUACUGGUUUUUAAAUAAAUUGACAUUUGAAUGUA